rnacentral:rRNA from 2 species
AGACCCGAAACCCGGUGAUCUAGCCAUGGGCAGGUUGAAGGUUGGGUAACACUAACUGGAGGACCGAACCGACUAAUGUUGAAAAAUUAGCGGAUGACCUGUGGCUGGGGGUGAAAGGCCAAUCAAACCGGGAGAUAGCUGGUUCUCCCCGAAAGCUAUUUAGGUAGCGCCUCGUGAACUCAUCUCCGGGGGUAGAGCACUGUUUCGGCUAGGGGGCCAUCCCGGCUUACCAACCCGAUGCAAACUGCGAAUACCGGAGAAUGUUAUCACGGGAGACACACGGCGGGUGCUAACGUCCGUCGUGAAGAGGGAAACAACCCAGACCGCCAGCUAAGGUCCCAAAGUCAUGGUUAAGUGGGAAACGAUGUGGGAAGGCCCAGACAGCCAGGAUGUUGGCUUAGAAGCAGCCAUCAUUUAAAGAAAGCGUAAUAGCUCACUGGUCGAGUCGGCCUGCGCGGAAGAUGUAACGGGGCUAAACCAUGCACCGAAGCUGCGGCAGCGACACUCAGGUGUUGUUGGGUA